UAGCUACAGGCUUAACACAUGCAAGUCGAGGGGCAGCAUGGUCUUAGCUUGCUAAGGCCGAUGGCGACCGGCGCACGGGUGAGUAACACGUAUCCAACCUGCCGUCUACUCUUGGACAGCCUUCUGAAAGGAAGAUUAAUACAAGAUGGCAUCAUGAGUCCGCAUGUUCACAUGAUUAAAGGUAUUCCGGUAGACGAUGGGGAUGCGUUCCAUUAGAUAGUAGGCGGGGUAACGGCCCACCUAGUCUUCGAUGGAUAGGGGUUCUGAGAGGAAGGUCCCCCACAUUGGAACUGAGACACGGUCCAAACUCCUACGGGAGGCAGCAGUGAGGAAUAUUGGUCAAUGGGCGAGAGCCUGAACCAGCCAAGUAGCGUGAAGGAUGACUGCCCUAUGGGUUGUAAACUUCUUUUAUAAAGGAAUAAAGUCGGGUAUGGAUACCCGUUUGCAUGUACUUUAUGAAUAAGGAUCGGCUAACUCCGUGCCAGCAGCCGCGGUAAUACGGAGGAUCCGAGCGUUAUCCGGAUUUAUUGGGUUUAAAGGGAGCGUAGAUGGAUGUUUAAGUCAGUUGUGAAAGUUUGCGGCUCAACCGUAAAAUUGCAGUUGAUACUGGAUAUCUUGAGUGCAGUUGAGGCAGGCGGAAUUCGUGGUGUAGCGGUGAAAUGCUUAGAUAUCACGAAGAACUCCGAUUGCGAAGGCAGCCUGCUAAGCUGCAACUGACAUUGAGGCUCGAAAGUGUGGGUAUCAAACAGGAUUAGAUACCCUGGUAGUCCACACGGUAAACGAUGAAUACUCGCUGUUUGCGAUAUACUGCAAGCGGCCAAGCGAAAGCGUUAAGUAUUCCACCUGGGGAGUACGCCGGCAACGGUGAAACUCAAAGGAAUUGACGGGGGCCCGCACAAGCGGAGGAACAUGUGGUUUAAUUCGAUGAUACGCGAGGAACCUUACCCGGGCUUAAAUUGCAGAUGAAUUACGGUGAAAGCCGUAAGCCGCAAGGCAUCUGUGAAGGCGCUGCAUGGUUGUCGUCAGCUCGUGCCGUGAGGUGUCGGCUUAAGUGCCAUAACGAGCGCAACCCUUGUUGUCAGUUACUAACAGGUUCCGCUGAGGACUCUGACAAGACUGCCAUCGUAAGAUGUGAGGAAGGUGGGGAUGACGUCAAAUCAGCACGGCCCUUACGUCCGGGGCUACACACGUGUUACAAUGGGGGGUACAGAGGGCCGCUACCACGCGAGUGGAUGCCAAUCCCCAAAACCUCUCUCAGUUCGGACUGGAGUCUGCAACCCGACUCCACGAAGCUGGAUUCGCUAGUAAUCGCGCAUCAGCCACGGCGCGGUGAAUACGUUCCCGGGCCUUGUACACACCGCCCGUCAAGCCAUGGGAGCCGGGGGUACCUGAAGUGCGUAACCGCGAGGAGCGCCCUAGGGUAAAACUGGUGACUGGGGCUAAG
rnacentral:rRNA from 1 species